rnacentral:rRNA from 1 species
CCCCACUAUGCCCAGCCAUAAACCUAGAUAGAAAAAUACCAUCUAUCCGCCAGAGAACUACAAGCAAAAUACUUAAAACUCAAAGGACUUGGCGGCAUUCCACAUCAACCUAGAGGAGCCCGUCCAAUAAUCGAAAACACGCGCUCAACCCUACCAUUUUUGGCCACUCCAGCCUAUAUACCGCCGUCGUCAGCUAACCUUGUGAAAGAAAAGUAGUAAGCACAAUAACCCUCGCUAAAACGUCAGGUCAAGGUGUAGCUAAUAAAAUGGUUGCGAUAGGCUACAUUUUCUAGUAUAGAAAAUUAACGAAAAUUACAAUGAAAUCUUGUAAUCGAAGGCGAAUUUAGUAGUAAAAUGAGUAAAUGAUCCUCAUUUUAACGCCGCUCCG